GGACUUACUAAUAGUGUGACUUAUUGUGAUAAAAUUUGAUAAAUUAUUAGUGUGACUUAUUGUGAUAAAAUUUGAUAAAUUAAAUGAUGUAAUGGUGCUUUGUUAAGAGAAAAUACAAUGUGAGUGUGUGCCUUCAUUAGAGUUUAUAUUGGCACAUCAUAAGAGUUUAUUGUUAAAACAUAUGCUUUAGGACAAGAGGAGGAAGACCAAUAAAGUCAUCUCAAAAAGUUCAUGCAGUGGACUAUGGUUGGAAAUUGUCGUAGAGGCCGUGGUAGACGAGGUCCUAUUAUCUAGGUAUCUAUGUUCUUAGUUCCCUCUUUGCUUUUUAUUUAGCUUUCAAAGGUAGUCUACUUGUUUUAGAGUAUUCUAAAUCAUGUUGCUUUCACCAUAUUUUUCAAAAUUGUAUGAUAUUCUAAGAUCAUGGCUUGUUAUUUCGUUUAUGCAUUUCAAUUGGAA
rnacentral:lncRNA from 1 species